rnacentral:rRNA from 1 species
CCUACGGGUGGCAGCAGUGAGGAAUAUUGGUCAAUGGGCGAGAGCCUGAACCAGCCAAGUCGCGUGAAGGAUGAAGGCCCUACGGGUUGUAAACUUCUUUUGUAAGGGAGUAACUGAGUCCACGUGUGGGCUUAGCGAGAGUACCUGAAGAAAAGCAUCGGCUAACUCCGUGCCAGCAGCCGCGGUAAUACGGAGGAAGCGAGCGUUAUCCGGAUUGAUUGGGCUUAAAGGGUGCGUAGGCGGAAUAUCAAGUCAGCGGUAAAAAGGCGGGGCUCAACCCCGUCGUGCCGUUGAAACUGAUGGUCUUGAGUGGGCGAGAGGUAUGCGGAAUGCGUGGUGUAGCGGUGAAAUGCAUAGAUAUCACGAAGAACUCCGAUUGCGAAGGCAGCAUACCGGCGCCCAACUGACGCUGAAGCACGAAGGCGUGGGUAUCGAACAGGAUUAGAUACCCGAGUAGUC